rnacentral:rRNA from 1 species
GUCUUUUUGAAUUUUAAUUUAAAGUCUAACCUGCUCAAUGAAUAUUUUUAAAUAGCUGCGGUAUUUUGACCGUACAAAGGUAGCAUAAUCAAUAGUUUUUUAAUUAAAAACUGGAAUGAAAGGUUGAAUAAGAAAAUUACUGUCUCAAUUUAAUUUAAAUUAAAAUUUUAUUUUUAAGUUAAAAAGCUUAAAUGAAAUUUAUAGACGAGAAGACCCUAUAGAGUUUAAUUAUUAAUUUAAUAAAAAUAAAGAGAAUUUAAUAAUUUAAAUUAAAUUAAUAAUUUUAUUGGGGUGAUAAAAAAAUUAAAAUAACUUUUUUUAUUUUAAAACAAAAAUUAUUGAUUUAUUGAUCCAUUUACUAUGAUUAUAAGAUUAAAUUACCUUAGGGAUAACAGCGUAAUUUUUUUUUAGAGUUCAAAUCGAAAAAAAAGAUUGCGACCUCGAUGUUGGAUUAAAAUUAAUUUUUGGUGUAGAAGCUAAAAUAUUAGGUCWGUUCGACCUUUAAAAUUUUACA